rnacentral:rRNA from 1 species
CACUGGGACUGAGACACGGCCCAGACUCGUACGGGAGGCAGCAGUGGGGAAUUUUCCGCAAUGGGCGCAAGCCUGACGGAGCAACGCCGCGUGUGGGAUGAAGGCCUGUGGGUUGUAAACCACUUUUCUCAGGGACGAACACAAUGACGGUACCUGAGGAAUCAGCCUCGGCUAACUCUGUGCCAGCAGCCGCGGUAAGACAGAGGAGGCAAGCGUUAUCCGGAAUUAUUGGGCGUAAAGCGUCCGUAGGUGGUCCAGCAAGUCUGGGGUUAAAGCCCGGAGCCCAACUCCGGAUCGGCCUUGGAAACUGCCAGACUCGAGUAAGGUAGGGGUUGCGGGAAUUCCCGGUGUAGCGGUAAAAUGCGUAGAUAUCGGGAAGAACACCAGCGGCGAAAGCGCGCAACUGGGCCAUUACUGACACUGAGGGACGAAAGCUAGGGGAGCGAAUGGGAUUAGAUACCCCAGUAGUCCUAGCCGUAAACGAUGGUGACUAGAUGUGGCUCGUAUUGACCCGAGCCGUGUCGUAGCUAACGCGAUAAGUCACCCGCCUGGGGAGUACGCACGCAAGUGUGAAACUCAAAGGAAUUGACGGGGGCCCGCACAAGCGGUGGAGCAUGUGGAUUAAUUCGAUGCAACGCGAAGAACCUUACCAGGGCUUGACAUCCUGCGAACCCCGCUGAAAGGUGGGGGUGCCUUCGGGAGCGCAGAGACAGGUGGUGCAUGGCUGUCGUCAGCUCGUGUCGUGAGAUGUUGGGUUAAGUCCCGCAACGAGCGCAACCCGCGUCCUUAGUUGCCAGCAUUUAGUUGGGCACUCUGGGGAGACUGCCGGUGACAAGCCGGAGGAAGGUGCGGAUGACGUCAAGUCAGCAUGCCCCUUACCGCCCUGGGCGUCACACGUGCUACAAUGGCCAGCACAAAGGGUAGCCAGC